UUGGAGGGCAAGUCUGGUGCCAGCAGCCGCGGUAAUUCCAGCUCCAAUAGCGUAUAUUAAGGUUGUUGCAGUUAAAAAGCUCGUAGUUGAAUUUCGGGGUUCAUCCGUUGGUCGGGCUUUUUUGGUCUGUACUGGCGUGAUGGAUUCCUACCUUCUGAAUAACCAGCAUGUCAUUAAUUUGGUGCGCUGGGGAAGCAGGACUGUUACCUUGAAAAAAUUAGAGUGCUUAAAGCAGGCUAUCGCCUGAAUACAUUAGCAUGGAAUAAUGAAAUAGGACGGCAUGGUUCUAUUUUGUUGGUUUCUAGGAUCACCGUAAUGAUUAAUAGGGAUAGUUGGGGGCAUUAGUAUUCAAUUGUCAGAGGUGAAAUUCUUGGAUUUAUUGAAGACUAACUUCUGCGAAAGCAUUUGCCAAGGAUGUUUUCAUUAAUCAAGAACGAAAGUUAGGGGAUCGAAGACGAUCAGAUACCGUCGUAGUCUUAACCAUAAACUAUGCCGACUAGGGAUCGGACGGUGUUAAUUUUUGACCCGUUCGGCGCCUUACGGGAAAC
rnacentral:rRNA from 1 species